CAUACACCGGUCAUACACUUCCGUUGCCUCGUCAGAUAUAUACCUUAUAUGUAAUAAUAUACCAAAACCUAAAAUUUUAACUUUUUUAAUAAAAGGGAUUCACUUACAGUAAAUAAUGUUUUUGAAUACAGGGAGCACUGGUGCACGUAUUAAAACCAACAAACAGUAGGUACAGGCCAAUAUAAGAAAAAUACUAUCAGUGCAACCAAGUGCCUGUGUCUGAAACUGGGUCAGAGAAUACAUGCAGUUAUUGCUCUGAAUAUACGCGGAUAUUUUAAGUGCAUGGCGGAUUUAAUAAUUGUUAUGGAUAACCUCAAGCAGUAAGAAAUAUAAAGGCUCACUGCAGUUUUGAGUGCUCAACAAGUAUUGACCCCAUACUAUGCUCAGCAAGUAGGGCCCUUGUAUUUCUGUGAAUCCUCAUGCAGUACAGUACUGCUGUUGGAGGAGGAGCAAACAGUGUGGUAUUUAUGGUCCGCCAUCACUUCAAGCAUCAUGGCUAUGGAGAAAAGAAUGUUUCAUUACAUAUGGACAAUUAUAGUGGACAAAAUAAGAAAAGUGUUGUAAUAAGCUAUGGAAUGUGGCUUGUUAUGAUGGGUCUACAUGAUGACUUGGAGUACAACCUGAUUGAGGCACGGCAUACAGAAUUCAGUCCUGAACAUGUUUAGAAUGUCUUCUGCAUGACCUGGUAUAGAUAGUAUUCUUGAAGGAUUAUAACUUCAACACAGAGACGGAGAUUAAUAUUUUUAGGCAGGGAGUUGGCAUGACAGGCAAAUUCACCAACCGUAUUACCAUUCCUGAGCUGGAUGCCAGUCGACAGUGGUACCUGUAUAAUGAAAUAGCGCCCCUUUGCAGCAACAGCAAUGUAUGCUCAAAACCAGCAGUGUCAAAGCCAUUAAAAUUGAUAAUUCAAGUCAUUUAAAACGAAGAAUGAAUGGAAAAAAGUGUUUAACAUUUAAAGUAAUACAGAGUAAGAGCUCUGAAAUUUUGAUUAAUUUGAAAUUGUUUUUGAUUUUUUGAAGAUGUACUAGACCCAAAUUCCAUAUAUUUGAAAAAGAACAAAUGAUACAUAUAGUUUAUGUAAACAUUGAAUUAACAACUUUAUCGUGUCAACAGUACUAUGCAUUUGUUAAAUAUUGACUCACUAUAUACAUGUAAGGCUGAACACAGUAUAAAUGUUAAAUUCCUCUAAAAUACUGGAAGAUUUUUCAACAAUAAUUGUAACAUAUAUGGUAGUAAUAUACAUUUUUUUUCAUUACGACAGUUGGAUUAUAUAGAUCUACGAAUAUUUUCUGCUGUAUUCACACUGCAUGUAAUCAUUUCUGUCGGCAGUAUCAUGUUUAUUUUCCCUUUUCAUGAACAAUUAAUUUAACCUGUCUUGAAAGCACAAAAUAUGUAUAAUUUGUAAAACAUACAUUGGAUUAUUGUGGAAACAAUUUAGUUUUUGUAUGUCUAAUUAUAUAAUAUUGCCGUUAGUAUUAUCUAACUCUUUUAAUAUGAUCAAGACAUUUAAUAAGGCAUUUUUCUUAAACUAUUACUGUGUGUUAAAUGAGAUUAUGUAGUAUUAUGUUUACGGAAUUAACUGCGUAACCAUGGAAACAUUUUUCUGUUGUUCUAUGUUAUGUCUUGAAAAAAACAUUGUUUGAAGAACACUUUUCAGUGGUGCAUUUUUUUAAAUUUUUACAUGUAAUGGUAAAUGCUGAAAGUGUUCUACAAUAACUUAGCAAAAACGUCAUUGUUGUCUCAUUGAAGCAUAUAUUGCAACUCCAUUGUAACCAUAGCAACAGAAAUAUAUUGUAUUAUUUAUGAAUAAUGAUCUUCACAAACAAAUUACAUAUGUUAUUUUUCUUAAAGAAUGACCUAAAUUGGUUUUAUUCCAUAAAAGCAAACAUAGCAAAUAUUCUCCUUUUUAUCUCCGUUUCCAUGGCAACCAUAUAUUUUUUUGCCUCAAAUUAUAGGCGUUGCUUAGGGUUAUAUCGUAGCAUAUCUGAAUGUUAAUUAUACGUUCUGAUGUAAUUGUUAUAAGAGAUUUUCGUGUUUCCAUAAAGAAAAUCAAUUGGUUGCCAUGGCAACAGCACAAUUUCAAAUGAAUUAAAAUAUGAGAUUUUGCAUUCUGAGUUGUUGAUCAUUCAUUAUAAUAAUAUUUCAACAACAUUUGAUGCUGUGCCAUUUUAACCUAUAAGUGAACCAAGCCCUUUGCAUACACCAUAACGAAAAACAGAAUUUAGAUUUUUCCCCUUCUAGCCUAAUACAGUUUAACAAUGUCAAUUUUGGAACAAGCUUUU